rnacentral:rRNA from 1 species
AGUGAACGCUGGCGGUAGGCCUAACACAUGCAAGUCGAACGGCAGCACAGAGGAGCUUGCUCCUUGGGUGGCGAGUGGCGGACGGGUGAGGAAUACAUCGGAAUCUACUCUGUCGUGGGGGAUAACGUAGGGAAACUUACGCUAAUACCGCAUACGACCUACGGGUGAAAGCAGGGGAUCUUCGGACCUUGCGCGAUUGAAUGAGCCGAUGUCGGAUUAGCUAGUUGGCGGGGUAAAGGCCCACCAAGGCGACGAUCCGUAGCUGGUCUGAGAGGAUGAUCAGCCACACGGGAACUGGGACACGGGCCAGACUCCUACGGGGGGCAGCAGUGGGGAAUAUUGGACAAUGGGCGCAAGCCUGAUCCAGCCAUACCGCGUGGGUGAAGAAGGCCUUCGGGUUGUAAAGCCCUUUUGUUGGGAAAGAAAUCCAUCUGGUUAAUACCCGGGUGGGAUGACGGUACCCAAAGAAUAAGCACCGGCUAACUUCGUGCCAGCAGCCGCCGUAA